AGCUUAGUGGCGAACGGGUGAGUAACACGUAGGCAACCUGCCCAAAAGAGGGGGAUAACACUUGGAAACAGGUGCUAAUACCGCAUAACCAUGAACACCGCAUGAUGUUCAUGUAAAAGACGGCUUUUGCUGUCACUUUUGGAUGGGCCUGCGGCGUAUUAACUUGUUGGUGGGGUAACGGCCUACCAAGGUGAUGAUACGUAGCCGAACUGAGAGGUUGAUCGGCCACAUUGGGACUGAGACACGGCCCAAACUCCUACGGGAGGCAGCAGUAGGGAAUCUUCCACAAUGGACGAAAGUCUGAUGGAGCAACGCCGCGUGAAUGAAGAAGGCCUUCGGGUCGUAAAGUUCUGUUGUCAGAGAAGAACGUGCGUGAGAGUAACUGUUCACGUAUUGACGGUAUCUGACCAGAAAGCCACGGCUAACUACGUGCCAGCAGCCGCGGUAAUACGUAGGAGGCGAGCGUUGUCCGGAUUUAUUGGGCGUAAAGGGAACGCAGGCGGUCUUUUAAGUCUGAUGUGAAAGCCUUCGGCUUAACCGAAGUAGUGCAUUGGAAACUGGAAGACUUGAGUGCAGAAGAGGAGAGUGGAACUCCAUGUGUAGCGGUGAAAUGCGUAGAUAUAUGGAAGAACACCAGUGGCGAAAGCGGCUCUCUGGUCUGUAACUGACGCUGAGGUUCGAAAGCGUGGGUAGCAAACAGGAUUAGAUACCCUGGUAGUCCACGCCGUAAACGAUGAGUGCUAAGUGUUGGAGGGUUUCCGCCCUUCAGUGCUGCAGCUAACGCAUUAAGCACUCCGCCUGGGGAGUACGGUCGCAAGACUGAAACUCAAAGGAAUUGACGGGGGCCCGCACAAGCGGUGAAGCAUGUGGUUUAAUUCGAAGCAACGCGAAGAACCUUACCAGGUCUUGACAUCUUCUGACAAUUCCAGAGAUGGAACGUUCCCUUCGGGGACAGAAUGACAGGUGGUGCAUGGUUGUCGUCAGCUCGUGUCGUGAGAUGUUGGGUUAAGUCCCGCAACGAGCGCAACCCUUAUUGUCAGUUGCCAUCAUUAAGUUGGGCACUCUGGCGAGACUGCCGGUGACAAACCGGAGGAAGGUGGGGAUGACGUCAAAUCAUCAUGCCCCUUAUGACCUGGGCUACACACGUGCUACAAUGGACGGUACAACGAGUCGCUAACUCGCGAGGGCAAGCUAAUCUCUUAAAGCCGUUCUCAGUUCGGAUUGCAGGCUGCAACUCGCCUGCAUGAAGUCGGAAUCGCUAGUAAUCGCGAAUCAGCAUGUCGCGGUGAAUACGUUCCCGGGCCUUGUACACACCGCCCGUCACACCAUGAGAGUUUGUAACACCCAAAGUCGGUGGGGUAACCUUUUGGAGCCAGCCGCCUAAGGUGGGACAGAUGAUUGGGGUGAAGUCGUAACAAGGUA
rnacentral:rRNA from 1 species